CUUCAGCGACCCCAGCCACAACGGGUCACCUUCCGGGCGCCCCUGCCCGUACAUCGCGAGCAGCGCCUGCGCCUC
rnacentral:antisense_RNA from 1 species